GCAGGAUUUCUUUCUAUCUUAGUGGCGGACGGGUGAGUAACGUGUGGGCAACCUGCCCUGUACUGGGGAAUAAUCACUGGAAACGGUGACUAAUACCGCAUGUGGUCCUUGGGAGGCAUCUUCUGAGGAAGAAAGGAUUUAUUCGGUACAGGAUGGGCCCGCAUCUGAUUAGCUAGUUGGUGAGAUAACAGCCCACCAAGGCGACGAUCAGUAGCCGACCUGAGAGGGUGAU
rnacentral:rRNA from 1 species